UCGACAUAGUUUAAUCUAAAACACUGGGCCGUGGCUCCAGAAACAAAAA
rnacentral:tRNA from 1 species